rnacentral:ncRNA from 1 species
UCGAGCCGUAUGACUUGAAAGAGUCACGUACGGUUCUAAGGGAGCGAAAGAUUGGCAACAGUCUCUAGCCACCCGAC